AGUGAACGCUGGCGGCGUGCUUAACACAUGCAAGUCGAACGAGAACGGGUUAUAGCUUGCUAUAAUUGUCAGCUAAGUGGCGCACGGGUGAGUAAUGUAUAGGUAAUAUGCCUCUUACUAAGGGAUAACAAAUGGAAACGUUUGCUAAUACCUUAUACUCCUUUUAAACAGAAGUUUAAAAGGGAAAGAUUUAUUGGUAAGAGAUUAGCCUGUAUUGUAUCAGUUAGUUGGUGGGGUAAUGGCUUACCAAGACUAUGACACAUAACUGGUUUGAGAGGAUGAUCAGUCACACUGGAACUGAGACGCGGUCCAGACUCCUACGGGAGGCAGCAGUGGGGAAUAUUGCACAAUGGACGAAAGUCUGAUGCAGCAACGCCGCGUGGAGGAUGACACAUUUCGGUGCGUAAACUCCUUUUAUAUGAGAAGCUAAUGACGGUAUUAUAUGAAUAAGCACCGGCUAACUCCGUGCCAGCAGCCGCAGUAA
rnacentral:rRNA from 1 species